rnacentral:rRNA from 1 species
GAGACCCACGCCCACAGUUGCCAGCGUACUCUCCGGAGUGACGGGUACACUGUGGGGACCGCCGCUGCUAAAGCGGAGGAAGGAAUGGGCAACGGUAGGUCAGUAUGCCCCGAAUAUCCCGGGCUACACGCGAACUACAAUGGUUGGUACAAUGGGUAUCUACCCCGAAAGGGGAUGGAAAUCUCCUAAAGCCAAUCUUAGUUCGGAUUGAGGGCUGCAACUCGCCCUCGUGAAGCUGGAAUCCGUAGUAAUCGCAAAUCAACAGUUUGCGGUGAAUAC